rnacentral:lncRNA from 1 species
UAUAUAUAUAUAUAUAUAUAUAUAUAUAUAUAUAUAAAUUUGAUGUUAUAUUUGAAUUUGUAUUUUAAAAAUUUAAAUUUAAUAUAAUAUAUUUUGAAAUAUUAAAAAAAGAAAUAAUUGUUUCGGGUUCAAAUUUUCGGGUUCGGGUUCGGGUUUCGGAUUUUUGGUCGGGUUCGGGUUUGGAUAUGGAUUUUUAAAAUUCGUCGGGUUCGGGUUCGGAUUUUUAAAAAUCCGCCCCGAAUCCGACCCGUUGACAUCUUUGCCUCUCACCAAAUAGUAUCUUAAAAUUUAGUAUCUUAAGAUUUGACAAGUUUACCGACCAUCCCUAGCACAAGUGGCAAAAAGGUUGAUGGUUGGUAUCCGAGAUUCCAAGUUCGGAGGGAAAUGAGUAUUUUCUUCUUAUUAUCCUCUCACCAAAUAGUAUCUUAAAAUUUAGUAUCUUAAGAUUUGACAAGUUUACCGACCAUCCCUAGCACAAGUGGCAAAAAGGUUGAUAGUUGGUAUCCGAGAUUCCAAGUUCGAACCCUAAUUGAUUCACAUUUCCAGCUAAGUUUAUUUCUAAAUGAAAUAAACGAAGCGGGUAGCAUACUACUUAUCUCUCAAAAAAA